CCUACGGGGAGCAGCAGUGAGGAAUAUUGGUCAAUGGGCGUAAGCCUGAACCAGCCAAGCCGCGUGAGGGAUGAAGGUACUAUGUAUCGUAAACCUCUUUUAUCAGGGAAUAAAGUGUGGGACGCGUCCCGUUUUGUAUGUACCUUAUGAAUAAGGAUCGGCUAACUCCGUGCCAGCAGCCGCGGUAAUACGGAGGAUCCGAGCGUUAUCCGGAUUUAUUGGGUUUAAAGGGUGCGUAGGCGGCCUUUUAAGUCAGCGGUGAAAGGCUGUGGCUCAACCCCAGGAUUGCCGUUGAAACUGGGAGGCUUGAGUUGGUGAGAGGCAGGCGGAAUGCGUGGUGUAGCGGUGAAAUGCAUAGAUAUCACGCAGAACCCCGAUUGCGAAGGCAGCAUGCCGGGCCAAGACUGACGCUGAGGCACGAAAGCGUGGGGAUCGAACAGGAUUAGAUACCCGUGUAGCC
rnacentral:rRNA from 1 species